rnacentral:piRNA from 1 species
UAAUUUGACCACAGUCCUCUCAGGGAGC